rnacentral:rRNA from 1 species
GUUUGGUUAAGUUAGAAAGGGCGCACGGUGGAUGCCUUGACACUAGGAGUCGAUGAAGGACGGGACUAACGCCGAUAUGCUUCGGGGAGCUGUAAGUAAGCUUUGAUCCGAAGAUUUCCGAAUGGGGAAACCCACYAUACGUAAUGGUAUGGUAUCCUUAUCUGAAUACAUAGGGUAAGGAAGACAGACCCAGGRAACUGAAACAUCUAAGUACCUGGAGGAAGAGAAAGCAAAUGCGAUUUCCUGAGUAGCGGCGAGCGAAACGGAACAUAGCCCAAACCAAGAGGCUUGCCUCUUGGGGUUGUAGGACAUUCUAUACGGAGUUACAAAGGAACGAGGUAGACGAAGCGACCUGGAAAGGUCCGUCGUAGAGGGUAACAACCCCGUAGUCGAAACUUCGUUCUCUCUUGAAUGUAUCCUGAGUACGGCG